rnacentral:rRNA from 1 species
UUGGAUGUCAUAACGAUGAAGAACAUAAAAGAAUAUGAUAAGUAUUUUUUUGAAUUCUAAUUCAUUUUAGGAUAACCCUUUGAACUUAAGCAUAUCAUUAGAAGGUGGAAAAUAAACUAACAAGGAUUUCCUUAGUAGUAGCGAACGAACAGGAAAAAACUCAUUAUGUAAUCUAUAUUUAUUAUAGAGAUGUUAAAUGUUAUUGUUGUCAUUCAAAUCAUAGAUACAAUUAUUUGUAGUAAAUGAUGACAAUAUAUAAUUAAUGUAGAGUACGAUUGCUUGGUAGUGCAAUUGGAAUAUAGAUAGAAUAGAAUAUCUAAGGUUAAAUAUUAAAUAUAAAUGAUAUACCGAUAGCAAAUAAGUACAGCGAUGGAAAUUGUGAAAAUGAUAGUAUUAUAGCUUAUAGUAAAUAUAAGACCCGUCUUGAAACACGGACCAAGGAGAUACCAGAUGACAGUAUUAAAAAUAAAUCAUAGGUGAUUUUGUCAUCUGGUAAGACCCGAAACAUAGUGAACUAUAUAUGUCAAUGGUUGAAGAUAAAUGACAGUUUAUUGGAAGACCUAAGUCAUUCUGACGUGCAAACCGAUGGUGAAAGAUGUAUAUAGUGGCGAAAGACCAAUCGAACUAUGUGGUAGCUGGUUCACAGCGAAAUGUCUCUUAGGACAGUUGAGUAUAUAAUAAAGUAAAUAGAUGUAGAGUCAAUACAAUAUUUUUAAUAUUGUUUAACUUCUAAUUCUAUAGGUUUGUAUGUUUUAAUAAUACUUACUAAUAUUUUUGAUACUCAAGUGGGCGUAUGAUUGUAAGAAUGAUAUGCAAUAAGGGAUGAACCUUUAGAUACACUAAAAUUUCUAAUAGUAUUAAAAUUAUAAGUAUGAUGAAUACAUUAUGACAGUAGGGCGGUUGUUAUGGCAGUAGAAAUCCGCUAAGAAACGUGUUACAACGUACCUACCGAAUGUAUUAUUGUAUAAAAUGGAUGAAUAUUAUAAUAAUAUUGAAGUGUAUUAGAAAUAAAUGUUAUGAUUUUAUUCUGGUAGUUGUGUAAUUUGAAUAUAUUGAAGUAUUACAAGUUAUUGUAUAUUGAAUAAUCAAAUGAGCAGAUCUUGGUGGUAGUAACAUAAUAAUUUGUAUUUAUAGAGUUAAGGGUUGUCAUAAAAGAUGACGUGAGACGGUGUUAUAUUAAAACAAAUUGUAUUAAUAUUUUACAAUCUUAUUUAUUAAGUGGUGACACAAAUAUUAGACUAUUGUUAAAAAGAAUCAUAAUAUAAAUGAGUUAUGAAUUUUCUAUGAUGUGAUAGUUGUUAUAAGAUCAUCAUUUUGAUAAUAAUAUGUUAAAAAAUCAAUAAAUAAACCGUACCUAUACCGCAUCAGGUGACUCUGUUUUAUAACAAAUAUAUUAAAAUAAUCUAAGUAAGGGAAUUCGGCAAAAUAGAUCUGUAACUUUGGGAUAAAGAUUGGCUCUAGCAUGCUAGAACUUUUUAUAUUAUGAGAGGAAUCUGACUGUUUAAUAAAAACAUAGCUUUAUGAUAAUGUAAAGUGAAUUCUGCCCAGUGUAUUUAUUAGUUAAAAUAAAAUAAGCAUAUAUAAACGGCGGGAGUAACUAUGACUCUCUUAAGGUAGCCAAAUGCCUCGUCAUUUAAUUGGUGACGCGCAUGAAUGGAGCAACGAGAUUCCUACUGUCCCUAUUUAGAGCUAUGUGAAACAACGAGACAAGGGAACGGGCUUGUUAUUUAUCAGCGGGGAAAGAAGACCCUGUUGAGCUUUACUCUAGUAUAUUUUAAUUCAUAUAUAUUAUAUUGUAGAGAGGUGGGAGAUGUAUUGUGAAACCACUAAUAUUAAUAUUAUAUGAAUUUAUUUUAAUUAUAUGGGGAGUUUGGCUGGGGCGGUACAACUGUUAUAAAGAAACACAGUUGUCCUAAGAUACAAUUAAUUAGGAUAGAAACCUAAUGUUUAAUAUAAGGGUAUAAGUGUGUCUGAUGUAUAGAACAAUAGUUUUAUAUGAUGGGAAACCAUGGCCUAAAGAUCCUCCAAUAAUAAUUCUAUUUGAUUGGAGGUGACAGAAAAGUUACCACAGGGAUAACUGGCUUGUAGCAAAUGAGCGAUCAUAGCGACUUUGCUUUUUGAUUCUUCGAUGUCGUCUCUUCUGAUCAUCGUAGUGUAUAUGUUACGAAGUGUUGGAUUGUUCACCCGUUAAUGAGGAACGUGAGAUGGGUUUAGACCGUCGUGAGACAGGUUAGUUUUACCCUACUGUAAAUAUCAUUAAGAAAAGUUAUAUAGUACGAGAGGAACAAUAAGUGAUGACCACUGGUGUAGCGAUUAAUUAUUCAAUUAUGUUGCAAAACUACGUCAURAAUAAUAAAUGCUGAAAGCCUCUUAAGCAUGAAGUUAAUCUUAAUGAUAAAUAAGUGAGGAAUACUACCUCUAUAAAGAGUGGGACUGUAAGAAUGAAGGUGUAUACCGACAUUUUGAGGUUACCAUCUCGUUCUAUAAAAAGUUUA